GAUGAACGCUGGCGGCGCGCCUAACACAUGCAAGUCGAACGGCACCCCUCCUCGGAGGGAAGCGAGUGGCGAACGGCUGAGUAACACGUGGAGAACCUGCCCCCUCCCCCGGGAUAGCCGCCCGAAAGGACGGGUAAUACCGGAUACCCCGGGGUGCCGCAUGGCACCCCGGCUAAAGCCCCGACGGGAGGGGAUGGCUCCGCGGCCCAUCAGGUAGACGGCGGGGUGACGGCCCACCGUGCCGACAACGGGUAGCCGGGUGGAGAGACCGACCGGCCAGGUUGGGACUGAGACACGGCCCAGACUCCUACGGGAGGCAGCAGUGGGGAAUCGUGCGCAAUGGGGGGAACCCUGACGCAGCGACGCCGCGUGCGGGACGGAGGCCUUCGGGUCGUAAACCGCUUUCAGCAGGGAAGAGUCAAGACUGUACCUGCAGAAGAAGCCCCGGCUAACUACGUG
rnacentral:rRNA from 1 species